UUCCUCCGGAAGUUUGAAUUAUGCAAUAAAUUGCAAGAAGUUCUGUGAUUCGAUUGCACAUGAUAUAAACGAGGAAGAAACGUAAAUCGCCGAAAGAUACGGAGACAAGCGGUUCCUUAAGAUUUGUUGGCCGCUUUUCACCAUCGCGUGACAUCUGAUACAUCUAAUGCUUUAUUUGGCGAAUUUAUUUCUGUUUUCGCAUGGAUUUGAAUUGAAAAUAGAAUUUGUUUACAAAAUGUCUGAUUAUUCUAGAGAUAAAAGUUGUAAACGUA